rnacentral:rRNA from 1 species
UACGUAGGGUGCGAGCGUUGUCCGGAAUUAUUGGGCGUAAAGCGCUCGUAGGCGGCUUGUCGCGUCGGAUGUGAAAGCCCGGGGCUUAACUCCGGGUCUGCAUUCGAUACGGGCAGGCUAGAGUUCGGUAGGGGAGAUCGGAAUUCCUGGUGUAGCGGUGAAAUGCGCAGAUAUCAGGAGGAACACCGGUGGCGAAGGCGGAUCUCUGGGCCGAUACUGACGCCGAGGAGCGAAAGCGUGGGGAGCGAACAGG